GCACCUUGACGGCACGAACUGUCCUUUUUUCGUAUUGUUUGUAGCGCCUAGUAGGAGGAGCUUAAUAAAUGCGUAUUGACUGAGCCCAUCUAAAAUAAAUAAACAAUGAUGGUUGGUCCGAGGGCAAGAGGGACUAGCCGUAGGUAGGAGAGUUGGGCAAAGCCUAUGAAAGGAUAUGGCCGAAAGGCGCUAGGGCUUCCAAAAAACCCGAAGCCGCUGAGUCCUCCUCGUAGCCUAGAGCGGCCGGAGAGAAACCUCGGACUUGGCUGGGGCGACUUCCGGGGGGAACUGGAGUCCGGCAACACUUCCGUCCGAGGCUGACUCCCUCCUUUUGUGAGGGCAUCCUGGUUUGGCCAGUCGAUCACGCGCUCCGGAGCAGAGGUUCUAUAUGUUCUCCAGGAUUUUGCCUGCCCUUAUAAGGGAAAGCCAAGAGACAAGGGAAUGGAAACCAAACGCCUACCUUCUGAGCUCCAGGAAUCAGUGGUGUUUGAGGAUGUGGCUGUCUACCUCACCCAGGAGGAGUGGGACUGUCUGCACCCUGCUCAGAGGUGUCUCUACAGAGAUGUGAUGCUGGACAAUUAUGAGAACAUGGCCUCACUAGGAUUUCCUGUGUCCAAACCUGAUGUGAUCUUCUGGCUGGAGCAAGGAGAAGAGCCAUGGGUUUUGGACAUACAAGGAACUACCAGGAGAGAGACCUUGUGAGACAGCUGCUUAGGUGUGCCUCAGGAGGUGGUGAUGAUGAAGAAAAGAGCAGUCAGCAUUGGAAGUGGUCUGAGAAUGAAGUGUCAUCUAGAGAAAGACAGGCAGUACCUGUGAUGAAAAUGAUAGAUACUUGAAGUACUAAACUAUUGAGUCAGUAUGGCAUCCCAAGAAUAGAUUGUGCCAGGUUAAGCUUAUCUAAUGUUUGGAGUGGGAAGUACCACACCAGUACUACCAUUCAACAUCACAGAACCCUGAAAGGUAGAAGCCCCAAUCAGUUGGCACUUCCCCAGUCCCAUGGCUAGCAAAUUGCCACGAUUCCCCUAAUCUCCACGAUUCAGAUGAAAAUCACUUUCUGUUACUUAUCCCAUUUUCUUGUCCUCAUCCAUUACAACUCUAUUCUUCCCCAGUCUCUUUAAUCCUCUGCCUUCCAGUAUCCUGAUUUCCAUGAAUAUUUCUCCCCAUCCAAGAUCCUUCUUUUCACAUUUCCAUCUUCUUAUGCUCACAGAAAUCCUAGUCUCUCUUGAAGACACUGCAUCCCUGACCAUCCUGUCUCCCCAUCCAGGGCUAGUUGCUUCUUUUCACAUUGGGCCAAGCAGAAUCAGCAUAUUCCAUAUUCCUCAUUGCCACUUUCAGAUUCUACCUUUGCCAGAAUCACUUAGCAACCUCUUUGAGAUUUGUCCCAUCUACUUUGAUCAUCCUGUCCCAAUCCUUGUUGCCAUCAUCAGCUGAUCCUCAGGUCACCUUUUCUCUCUUUUUUGUGGUAUCUUCUUCAUCACUAAAAUUUAGUCUUUGCUUUUACUGCAAUUUCUAGGACUGACACCCCAUCCCUUUAUUCCAGGCAGCUUCUUUGCUCUGGCUUCACUUUCCUACCUUAAGAGUUUUGACCCUAUAGCCAAUUUGACUGUAUGCUAUACACCUACUGACUACCUUGCCCCCUUGCCUUUCCAUCAUUUCCUCCAUCCAUUCUUAUUUUGGGAUAUCUCCAUGUUCUCCACUCCUAGAAGCAAUGUGGAGCUGAUGAAGAUUUUGGCAGUUGUGUGGAUGAUGGAUUUAAUGGGGGAGACUAUAAGCCGGGAGAUCAGCUAGGAAGCUAAUACAUUAGGUGAGAGGUAAUGAGGCCUGAACUAGGGAUUCAAUUUGUUGUGUGUGUCCUGAGGGCAGAACUAGAAGCAACAGGUAGAAGUUGUAGAUUAGAUUGCCUCUGAGGUCCCUUCCAAUUCAUGUCUAAGCAAGGAUUCCCUCAGACACUGUCAACAAGUGAUCAUUCAGAGAUCUCUAGUGGGGGAAACUAUACCACUUGAGGCUUCCCUUUCCAGUUUUGGAUCACUGGAAUUAGUAGGAUUUUUUUUUUUAUACACCAGCCUUUAUGUAUCUUGUAUCCAUUUCUCUUCAUUCUGCCCUCUGGGCCCAAGGAGAACAAGAAACAGCCCUUCAGGCACUUGACAGCUAUCAUGCCUCUCUUUUUUUCUUUUUUAGUUGAAAUUCUCUAACUUUCAACUGAUGCUGAUAUAACAUGAUCUCAAGGUCCUUUAUCUUCUUGGUCACUCUCCCCUGAACACUCUCUAUGCCCCUUCUAAAAUUUGAUGCCUAUAACUAAACAUAGUACCCCAGAUGUGAUUCCCACCAGGAUAGAACAGUGAGAUUAUUACCUCCUUUGUUCUACAUGAAAUCACUAUGAGUAGCAUACUACACUCCCAAAUGGACUUAAGGUGUGUUAUUGUUCUGGAAAGUAGGUGAUAUUUAUUUAGUAAACACUUUUAUCAGUUAUAUAGUAUGAAUAAUAUUAAAGUCUUCAUACUAUAUACGGGACAGAAGUUAGUACAUACAGGAUACACAAUAUUUUAAAAAUGUAUCCAGUCUUGAUUUAUUCAACUCUUCCUUCAUGGAGUGGAGAAUGAGGGUGAUAGUAUUUGAGAGGGGAUAGUAGUAAGAUGAGCUUCAAGAGAUUCUCACUAAAACACUAGCCAACAUUUCCCCAGUCAUUUCUAAGCAGUCUAACAUCUGCUUGAUCAGUAAGCCUAUAAUUCUCUUUAGCUACAAAGAUGUAUAUUAUUACAGGCUACUUUUGGAUAGUGCUAAUUGUUAUUUAGCCACUUGUGUCUCAGUGGAGAAAGCAACAUAAAGAUCAUUUCUCGCACCAAACCGGGCACCCUUGGAUUUAUCCAAGAUGAGGGCAGUGGCAGGACUUCUUGGAAUUUCCUGGAAGGCCUUUCUUUGGUUCUUUUAAUAUUAUGGAGAUGCCAGUAUAACACUUGGACUGUCUUUGCUCUCUAAUCUGCUUAAAGGCCGAUGGAUCCCUUCCAGCUGCCUUACCAUUGCUCAUGGAAGCUGUUUCACUUGGCUCUAAUUCAGACAUAGAAUGAAUGGUUUCCUAGCUUUGGAAAUGUAAUGCCUAACAUUUUUACAAUCCCAUUCUAUAACAUCACGAAAGCCUUUAAGGAACAGAUGUUAAUUUCUACUAUUUCUAACUGCCUCAGGCUUCAGCGGGGAAAUCUCCAGUUGGGGGAUCAUGGAGCAUGAGCAGUAGAAAGUUUUGUCUCCUUCAAAGCUAUAUCAUUGUCCAUAACAGGGAUCUGUAAAUAUAGAUUCAGGCUGUCCCUUAUUCACUCUUGGAGCCUGGGUAUUCUCCCCAAAGUAGUCCCUCUGGUUAGAUUGAUCCUCCAGGGCUCUAAGUUUUCUCUAUAAUUUUGGAGUCAGAGGCCUCCCCUAAGGCCCUUAUGGUUAUGGGCAAUGGAAGACUAUAGAUUAUCCUUAUCCUGAGACCCUGGGCAUAUGGAGCUUUUGCUGAUGCUUUCUUUGAUCAAUUUUGCUGGCCUUCUUCUGCCUGUUCCUCAACCAAGAACUCAGCUUCAAAUCAGGCUAGUGUAACCAAGAAGCUUACCAUCUACAAAAGUCUCUAGCUUUCUAGUCCUUGAAAUUGCAGAAAUAUAAAGAUAGAAAUCAGAAAGGGUCCAUUUUUAUCAAUUUUCUAACGAUUAAGAACAAUAUGACAAAAUCUAACACUCAAGAGGUAAUGAAAAAGAGGUUCCAGUCACACAAUACAAAGAGGAGGAGGGGCAUUGCAAAGCUACAGAACUGACAUUAGGCUGUCCUCAGCUAAGUAAAUUCAGCCUUGUAUGUAUAUGAAGUCAGAGCUAAGAAGAGCAGAUGGGAAGAGAACAGGAAUGAUCUUAAAAUAAAACAUUAAAAUUAGCUCCCACUGAUUGGGUAGCUUUCUCCAACAUUUUUAAGCUCCAAGUACCAGCCAGCCCUUGCUAUUCCUUUUUUUUUUUUUUUUUUGCCUCAUAGAGGAAAGGGGAAAUGGAAUCUUGGAACAGAGAACUAGAGAAAAAGGACACAGAGACCCUGAGUAUUCCUUCUUUUUGGCAGUUCUAAUAACUGUGGGCAAGCCGAACAAGAUACUUGUGAGAAUGCAGCUCCUGGGGCUUUUACUUUAAAUGAACACUGAUUAAGUUGGUUUGGCUUUUGGGCACAUUAAGUGGAUGUCAUUUAAGUGUCUGCUCCAGUCCUGUAGGUAUACUACCAGGUAUCUGCAACAUAUCAUGGCCAGUCUGAGCAGCAGAGCAGAAAUCAUAGGGAUGGUUGAAAUGAGCAUGUUUCCCCAGCCCCACCUCUUUUUUUUUUUCAAUAAGGAAUGAUCUUUUAAAGAAACUUUUAAAUUGGAACAGCUUUUGCCUUGUUUUGCUUGGCCUUGAGGUACAGAACUAGAAGCAAUAUGUGGAAGCUACAGUGGGGCAUUGUUUCAACAUAAGGAAGAGCUUCUUAAUGGAGUACAGUAGUCCCAAAUGAAAUGGAUUGUCCCAGGAGGUAGAGCUCUCCACCACUUGAAGGAUUCCGGUUCAAGAACAGGUUGGAGAUGACCUCUAAGAAGUUAUAAUUAGCAAUUUUUGUGCCCAUGGCACUGCUCAUUGAACUGGGAGAUAGGGUGAUGGUGCAAAGGCAUCAAAGAACUCACUGGGAAUGUGGUCACUGGUCCAUUAUUGGGCAGUUUCCUAUUUUAAUUCUUCUUGCUAAUCAGUUGCUAAGUUAUUUUUUUCUGUGAGUGUUGGCAGUGCCCUCAAUUUUUGUGCUUGAAAUUAGCACUGUGAAUUUUUUGAAUUCUGAGCUUUUAUGAGUUUAACUAGUAAAGCAAAUGCUUUAAAGUAGCAUUUUGUCAGCCUGGUGAAACAUGUGGAUUCCUUUUUGGAAUGUUUUUAAAUACAUAAAAUAAAAUGUAUAGAUCAAUAAAGGAAACUAAUUAUACUGUUAUCUAAAAAAAAAUCACAAACUUCUGGUUAAGAACCUCUGCUUUAGAGUAACUUUCUAGAGAAAGACAAACCUAAAGAAACCUGAGAUGCAUGGGUAUAAGUUAGCCAUGCAGAAUAUAGAAGUGGAAUGAACCUCAGAAAUAAUGUAGUCCAACCCACCACUCCUUUUGCAAAUGAGAAAACUAAGGCUGAGUUAAGUGACUUACCCAAGGUCAUACAGGUGACUCAGUACUGUAAUGAAAAGUGUUCAGGAUUUAGAGUCAGAAAGACCUGGAUUCAGAUCCUGCCUAGUUGGGUGUCCUGAAGCAAGUCAAUUAACUUCCAUAAAUCUCAGUCUCCUCAUCUGUAAUGGAAAUGAGGUGCCACAGCAAACAGACCGCU